GCUGAUGAUGACCUCCCUGACAAGCAGCUGCCCAAGUUCACAGCCUCACGUCUGUGCUGUCCAGAUCACUGAUGGGAAGGCUUGGCCGUGAAUGUUUUAAACCCUUGAUGUGCUGGGGGAAAAUUACAUAUGAACCAAUGGUACUAUUUUCUUAUUUGCCAGCGAAUUGUGAAGCCAAGAAAGAAGACUAUCAGAAGAAGUCCACAGCUGAGAAAGGUCCAAACAAUACCCAAGAGGACAGGAGAUAAUGAAGAAAUGGUCUUACUGCUAUAGUGGGAAGAGGUCUGAGAACAGAAUAAAGAGAAACUGUUAGGAAUGAAGGCUCUUUUAUAGCUCAAACACGAACUUCCCCCUCAUUCCCAAAGCUGGAGAAUAUGUGUCCUGCAUGAGCAUUUCCUCUCCCUCUUCCUCCUCACUUCCUCCUCCUCCUCCCCCCUAUUUCCUCCUUUUCCUCCUCCUACUCCUCACCCCUACCACUGCACCACCACCACUAACAACAGCAGCAACAACAACAAGGUGUAUAUCUGAGCAGCCCUGACAAUCCAUGGCUGUCAACUCACAAUUGUCCUGC